CAUCGUGUUAAUUCUGCUCGCCAUCACUCCCUUCAUCUUCCUUUUUGCUGGAACACUGGAGAAGAGGCUAUGGAUAGAUGAAAAAGGGAUUGGAGAUUAGAUUUAUUGGAUGCUUGAAUGAUUUCUAGUUUUAGGCAUUGGGACUUAUUUAUAGGUGUAGGGAGGCAUGAAGUUUAAUAGAUGAAGCAAUGUGGGAUUAAUAGAAGAAAGAAUGGAUGGCUAGGGUUUCUUUUAAGUAGACAUGUGAGGCUCCUUGAAAAUGGAUGGUUAAGAUUUAUUGAGAGGAUCAAGGGGCACUAG
rnacentral:lncRNA from 1 species